AUUGAACGCUGGCGGCAGGCCUAACACAUGCAAGUCGAGCGGAUGAAGGGAGCUUGCUCCUGGAUUCAGCGGCGGACGGGUGAGUAAUGCCUAGGAAUCUGCCUGUUAGUGGGGGAUAACGUCCGGAAACGGGCGCUAAUACCGCAUACGUCCUGAGGGAGAAAGUGGGGGAUCUUCGGACCUCACGCUAUCAGAUGAGCCUAGGUCGGAUUAGCUAGUUGGUGGGGUAAAGGCCUACCAAGGCGACGAUCCGUAACUGGUCUGAGAGGAUGAUCAGUCACACUGGAACUGAGACACGGUCCAGACUCCUACGGGAGGCAGCAGUGGGGAAUAUUGGACGAUGGGCGAAAGCCUGAUCCAGCCAUGCCGCGUGUGUGAAGAAGGUCUUCGGAUUGUAAAGCACUUUAAGUUGGGAGGAAGGGCAGUAAGUUAAUACCUUGCUGUUUUGACGUUACCAACAGAAUAAGCACCGGCUAACUUCGUG
rnacentral:rRNA from 1 species